GUCCCCCCACCCCUGCAGACCAUGAGAAAGGUGAUUCGUUAUAUCCUGCCACCCAUUUAGUAUGUUCUGUAGGGGUUAAUACUGUCUCCAUUACCUCAUUAAGAUCUUAGGUUGUGGGGAAAUAGCUGGCACACAUUAUUUUUAAAUGUUUUACAAACCCAUUUGGAUCUAGAGGGGGCAGGAAAUGAUACCUGUAAAAAUGCUAUGUCUUGUGGGCUCCACGGUUGACAAAUCCUCCGUGGUCUCCCAUCAUUAUCCAUCUGUCCCACUUCUCUAAUAGGUAAAAUCAUAGCCUCACUCCCAUCACUCUCAGGCAACACAUUUCUACAUCCUGAUAAACCUGAUAGUAACCACAGCAUGAUCAGCAAAUCUUUUAGGCAGUCUAAUAUCCCUCUCAGGUCUACCACCUCAAUGCAACAUGGCUGAGGCACCAGCUAAAUUUUGGGGUACAAGCUGUGGUGCAUCAUUCAUCUGCUGAGGGGCGGUGACCCAAAGAGGGAUUCAUAAUCUCAUGAUUAAUCAAAAAAUCCUCAUCA